rnacentral:lncRNA from 1 species
GUCGGCGAUCGGAGAUGCCAGGGGGCAGCUGGGACGUGGGCGGUCUGGAGAGGCGCGGGGGCAGCUGAGAUGCAGGUGGUCCGGGACGCGCGGGGGCUGGCGGGUUGUGGGCGGUCCAGGGAUGCGAGGGGGCAGCUGGGACGUGGGAGUUCCGGGGACGCGUGGGGUCGCCAGGAAGCGGGGUCUAGGACUUAGAUCCGCUUUCUCUUCAGGCCAUGCAGCCCCGAAGCUCCGAAUCCUGGGAUGACUCCUGUCCAUGUUGGAAGGGACCCUGCCAGUCCUGGCAAGGUUCAAAGGCCUUAGGGCAAGAAAUGUUAGUAGAGUCCUGGAAGACGAUGUGGGGAACGGGUAGCGGCCACCGGAUGGUGAUCGUUCUUCUACAAGACCUUGACAUGGAUGGGGAGAAACAGAGAAGAACCUUCCAAGUUUGUCCCACUGGACAUGCCCACCACACUUUACCAGCCCUUUCUAGAAGGCCUGUGCGUAACACAUGAAAAAGCUCCGCUCGACCUUUCCCUGACCUUUUAAAAGAAAACAUUUGCUGCAUCUAAUCCGCCUAGAUAUAAGGAGGUUCCCAAAUGUAUGACAGAGUCAGAAAAUUACAUGUCUUGUAAGUUACCAUGUGCUUGUCUUUUGUUUUCCGUUUUUUUUCGUUUUUUUGUUUUUUGUUUUUGAGACGGAGUCUCACUCUGUCGCCCAGGCUGGAGUGCAGUGGCAGGAUCUUGGCUCACUGCAACCUCUGCUUCCUGAGUUUCAACAAUUGUGCUGCCUCAGCCUCCCGAGUAGCUUGGAUUACAAGUGUGCACCACCACGCCUGGCUAAUUUUUGUAGUUUUUAGUAGAGAUGGGGUUUUGCCACGUUGGCCAGGCUGGUCUUGAACUCCUGACCUCAGGUGAGCCACCCACCUUGGCCUCUCAAAGUGCUGGGAUUACAGGUGUGAGCCACCGUGCCUGGCCGUAAGUUACCAUGUGCUUUUUAAAAAAAUCAUAGCAAAGGGGUGUCUUCUGGAAAUGACAUUUUGAAAUGGUGUUAUUAGACCACCCCUGGAAGGGACACAGUAACCACACGUCCACGUUCGUUCAGUGGGUGAGAGGACAUGGAGGGGAGACCUGGGCAGGAAGGGAAGAGGGUUCCAUGCCAGGCUGCUCAUAUUUAGAAGACAUUUUCAUAUCAUUGUCAUUGUUUUCUUGUGUGCGUUUUAUUCCUCGCUAUUGUAUACAUCAUUGGAAAUUCUAAGUAU